UGUCAACUUAGACAGAUAGAGGUCAGCCAUGUUUCUCCUCCCUCCUUGUUGAUAUCUCUCCCCCAUGUCAUCUCUGUAUUGUAUUAGCGUGGAGAUUCAUUGUCAUCACCAGCCACCUCUCCUCAUCUCACCGGAGCUAAUCGCAUCUCCUUUAUGGUAGCCGUGCAACAGAUCCGAGACUUAGACUUAGAUGUGGAGAAGAGCGCACGCACACGGAGCCACCACGACACGUCCGGUGCUGAUCACCACCGUCCAUCACCAUAGAGCCACCGCCAGGAUGUCACUUUAUCUGCUUGUCACACCGGAGCCACCAUGUAUGGAUUGAGACAUAGACUUGUCGUUAAGGAUCAACCACCAUUGUAUUAUGGAUGUCAUUCUUAUUAUCCGAGAAGCGUAAACGUGGGGAGAAUGACGGAGCCACCGUCUCAUUACCGCUGACCACCGAUCCACACUAUCUUGUGUUGUUAGUCACCAUAGAUGGAGCCCACGUUUCCAAAGUGUGAGAUCCACUAACGUAAUUCCAAGCCGUAAUAGCUAAGUGACCUUUUCUCUAUUCCUUGUAUCGCAAGAUACCUUUGUAGAAUGAAACCUAAUCAUAAAUUGUGCAUGGUGUAAUCUUAUGAUUUAGGUGAUACUUAAUCAACAAGUAAUUCAUGACAAAUUUCGGUCACGGUUUGUUAGGCGAGGAUAUUCGUUUUCCAAUUCAUUUCUGAUCUCUGUUAAGAUAUGGUGUGCGGGGGCCAGAGACGUUUAAGCUAGUGACGCAGAUUUUGUGUGGGCGGGGUGCAGAGACGUUUGCAUAUCUACGCAUGUCAAUUGGUGACAGCUUGUCCUGUGGAAGAGUUGUUAAAGGGUGAGGUCAUGGGUUUGAACCUCACCAACAACCUAAUUAUGGUGUUAGUGAAAACUCAUAAUGGAGGGUUUGGGGUCGGUGCCUUACAGGGUUGUGAAAUCUGGGAUCCGCAGGACGGGUUGUCACAAAAGUUUUUUUCUAAUUUUUUGUUGCUGCUAAAGUGUUUUUUGUUUUCUUCUCUUUUUCCUUAAAGUCGGGCUUUUUAUAAUAUUUAGAAAGUUUUCUCUGUAACUGCCUUAAAGUUCGAGACUAUUAGGCAGGGUAAGAUUUUAUUUUCUUCAAUAAGUUGGUUCUGUCUCA